rnacentral:misc_RNA from 1 species
GAGAACAACACGCUGCUCCGGCGGCUCUCUACCCUUUCCCACACACCCUGUGCACGCUUGCCCCGUCCGGGACGCGAGUCCUGGAUGCGAGGCGCCCUUUGUAUAUCUCCUUCACGCAAGUCAAUGAAUGUACACCCUAUUGUAAACACAACA